UUCCUCCUCUGUCUAUCUUCAUCCCUUCCUUCCUUUUAAUUAAUGUCUAAGUUAUCUUUUGCUCAAGGUUCUUUCCAGUGUGUUUGUGGUGUCCGGCUCUGCUUGCUAGUUUAUUUUGUCACUGUAUAAUUGUCAAUCCUAGCUAGUUUUGUCACUGUAUAAUUGUCAAUCCUAGCUAGUUUUGUCACUGUAUAAUUGUUAGUCCUAGUUUGUUUUGUCAUUGUAUAAUUGUCAAUCCUAGUUUUUGUCAUUGUAUAAUUGUCAAUCCUAGUUUUUGUCAUUGUAUAAUUGUCAAUCCUAGUUUUUGUCACUAUAAUUGUCAGUCCUAGUUUGCUUUAUCCCUGUAUAAUUGUCCGUCCCAGCCAGGCGCCUUUUCCAUGUAAAGAUCUCGGCAGCUUCAAGCCUUGCCGAUAUCUCAAUCCGUACGUGAAUGUAAACUAACCGAAAUCCUUGUUACUAAGCCCUGCAUGGUGCUCUCUAACUUAAUGCUUCUUUAAAUUUUCAGUCUCACUUAACUUCCGGGGUUAGUAAUAUAUUUUGCCAUAAGUUAACUCCCCGUGAUGGCCAGUUUCAUGUACUAUAUAUAAGUAAUUUGCCUUUUGCAUGGCUAUAAUUCUGCAUCCGUGUCUAAGGCCCAGUUUCACAGUUCCUCAUGAUGGGUUAGUAAGCUCCAAAACCAAUACCAGAGCCUUCGAAAUUAACUUGUACAGUGUCUGGAGUUUAUAUUUAAGUUCACAAAUUUGACGAGACUAUACAGGAAAGGUCUUGUGUGUUUAUGGUACGAAGGAAAGGGAGGAGAAGGGAGAUGAGAUUGGGAGACGAGUGAGCCGAGAUCCUGUUUAUAUUCAAGUUCACAAAUUUGACGAGACUAUACAGGAAAGGUCUUAUAUUGUCGUGAUACAAAGGAAAGGGAAGAGAAGGGAGAUGAGAUUGGGAGACGAGUGAGCCGAGAUCCUGUUUAUAUUCAAGUUCACAAAUUUGACAAGACUAUACAGGAAAGGUCUUAUAUUGUCAUGAUACGAAGGAAAGGGAAGAGAAGGGAGAUGAGAUUGGGAGACGAGUGAGCCGAGAUCCUGUUUAUAUUCAAGUUCACAAAUUUAACAAGACUAUACAGGAAAAGCUGUGUUUAUGAUAUGAAGGAAAGGGAAGAGAAGGGAGAUGAGUAAGCUGAGAUCCUGUUUACAUUCGAGUCCACAAAUUUGACGACACAAUACAGGAAAAGCUCUGUGUAUUUAGUGUGUCAUCGAAGACCGCGCCAUUUUGAACAGUAUGGGAUUCUAUAGCUUGGUUCGGGAGUGUUACAAAGACCAUGAUGGACUGUGGAAGUGGCCUUUAAUGUUCCCUUUUCUAAUAUGCCUCUCUGUUUUUGCAGGAUGCCGCGGACGGACCAUGCAGAGGACUCAUCGCGACGACACCAACGGUUUGGUUAAGUGGGUUCUCUUGUGUGCGUCUGUGUGUGAAUGGCAGGCCUGUCGUAUGAUUGUGUGUGUGUGCGUUGGCGUUAUGCCUUCGCACUAUUAUUUUGUUAGGAUGUAUUUUUGUGUGUGAACUUUUUGCACGUAAUCUUUUUUUAUACCCAUAGCUAGCGUUUGUUUGUGUGGCAGUGUUCCGGGAGAUGGACGCCGGGGGACAUGGGCUUGGGGAGGCGCACAUGACCUCCUCUGUCCGUGAUCUCUUCAGCUGGGGAGACCGUGUGUUGCCCCGCCUGGAGAGACACGUUGAUGGAGGUGGCCGUGUGUGUCACCCUUUGCCUGUAUCCUCUGGCGCCCAGAGGCGCGUAAGCGGAGAGCAUCGGCGCAGCGCGGGAGCAGCACGUCAGGGUGUAGGGUGUUUGUUUAGCUGGUGUAGGGUGUUAGGGUGUUAGGGUGUUAGGUGUAACAACGGUUGGCUCUUUCACAGAACGGGUGUGACUCCGUUCUGCGUUUGAGUCUUCCACCUUCAGACGGUCUCCCUCCGAGAUGUCUGAAGUUUUUUUUGUCGGUUUUCUCCGUAGGAGGAAGCCGACUCUAGCUACUCUGGCCUCUCUUCCGGGGGUCAGAGCGGUCGGGCUCUGCUUGGCCAGGCGUUAGUCUUUCGCGUUGUCUCCGCCGACGUUUUGCCAGACUCUUCCGUAAGGUUGAGCCUGGCUUUUUUAUUAGGUGGAUCAGGCUGCCUUCUUCCAAGGAGUCUGAUGGGAGUGGAGUCUUUUUUUUGGUGUAUGUCUGUGGGUGCUCAGUGGGUAAGGGAGGGUGGGGUAGAAUGGUUGGUGGGCUGGAAGUGGGUUGGGGGAUGAGCCUCCUGGGAUUUGGGUUGUGUCGAGCCUUACCGCCUGGUGUGUUGGGUAACCUUCACGCCAGGGGGGGGGUGCCAAGACUAUAUCCAUCUCCUGGGCAGGGCGAUUCCCCUUUCCCAUGCCAACUGGCCCUCCUCCGUCUGCCUCCCCAAACCCCCGCUGAGUGCUUGUGUGUGUUAUUUUAUUUAGGAUGUCUUUUUUUUCUAUGCCUUUUUCCCGUGUGUUUAUACCCAAUAGCUAGCGUGUGUGUGUGUGUGGCAGUCCGGAGGCGCGUGCAGCGAGGACAUCACAUCACGUCACUACGGUAUAUCCACGGUAUUUGGUUUAGUGUGUGCUGUGUGUGUUUGUGUGUGUGAUGGCAGGCCUGCCGUGUGUUUGACCUUUUGCUGUGUGUUGCUGUGUGACUGCUAGGAUUUCAUUUCUAUGUAUGUUUUUUUCCCCAUAACCCCCUUCCUCCCUAGCUCUUUAGCUGUUGUGUGCGAGGCGCUGGGUGGAUGCUGCCGGGCGACCAACGGCGGUGGCGGUGUGCAACGCGGGAGCUGCUGAGGUUUGGGGUAGCACUACGGUGCAGGUUAUGUAGGGUGUGUGAGUUUUUUUGUGUGAGUGUCUUUUUUUGUGUGGGGUGUUAGCUAAUCACUGUGUCAGGAAGGCAUGGGCGUGGCCGUCUGUCCAUCAGGCCGACGGGCGGGUGUGCCACCUGGCAGUCAGGCUAGCAGGUGACAGGCAAGCUAUCUGGCGGUCAGGCUGUCAGUCGG